GACUCGGUAGCUUAGAUGGAAAAGCGCUUGUAUAGCGCAUAAGGGUCGUGAGUUCAAAUCUCACCUGAACUG
rnacentral:tRNA from 1 species